rnacentral:misc_RNA from 1 species
GAAGAAGAAGCUGUAGAUCACAUAGACCUUCUUCCAGAAUUUCACUUUCUUAUUUCUAACUAUUUCCAUCACCAUUUUCCUGAACAGAUUGGCAGGACCACAAGACCACCUGUGCUGCUGGAAUCUGAAGGCCUUGAAAGUGCUUGGAAGUUCACUUUUCACUUGUAGGUCACCAAGGUAAACAAAUUUCCAUCCCCUGAGACUAGCUCGGACAGCAAGAUCCAUAUCUUCCACGGUGGUUCUGUCCUUCCAACCACCAGCCUCAUUAAUUGCAGCAAUUCUCCAUACCCCAGCAGUACCAUUGAAGCCAAAGAAUGCAUGAGUUGAUGACCCAACUUCUUGCUCCACAGUGAAAUGAUAAUCCAAUGACAUCUCUUGCAUUCUUGUCAAUAAGCAUUCAUCUGCAUUCACAAAUCUCCAGCGAGCUUGAACAAGGGCAAUGUCAGGAUUGUGGACCAAGAAAGGAAUGGCACGUCUGAGAUAGUCAGGUUCAGGCUGGAAAUCAGCGUCAAAGAUAGCAACGUACUCGCAAUGUUUAACAUAGCUUCUCUUUAGCCCUUCUUUUAAAGCUCCAGCUUUAUAACCUACUCUGUUCUCUCUGAUUUGGUAUGUUAUGUUUAUUCCUUUGCUUGCCCGUCUCUGGCACUCUAGCUCCACCAUUUGCUUGAUCUCUGGGUCUGUUGAAUCAUCUAGGACUUGGAUCACCAGACGAUCCGCUGGCCAAGAAAGAUUACAUGCUGCCCCAAUUGAGAGCUUGUAAACCUCUUUUUCAUUGAACAUUGGGAUUUGAACGAGAACAACAGGGAAAUUCGAAUUGCCUGAUUCCAAAUCUUCUUGCAAGGGUUCCCACUUGUAACGUUUUUCUGGUUUCUUCCAAAACAGCUUAACAAUGAUUAUAACAAUUCCCAUGUAAAGCCUCUCCAUGAAGAGCAUGAGCGACAUGGUUAAGCAGAUAUAGACCCCAAGUUUCAAUAGAGGAACUAUCAAUGGAGCUUUGAUUAGCUCCCAAAUGAGUCCAAUUUGGGCUCCAAUGUCAUCUCUAGACACCUGGUAUGUUUCUGGUAUAAUGAAUUUUGGUGAAUCUUCAGCCAUCUGUUUUUCUGUGUAACAACAGAGCAGAAUAAAACAGAGGAAAAUAGGAGAUAAGGCGAUGAUGAGUUAGCUAAAUUCACUAGCAAACAAACAAGGUGAUUACAAAAUAAGAACUAUAAAUCUGUUUCUGAUAUGGGGAUUGAAUUGUUAACAAUGUGGAUGAAAUGAGGGUGUAUAUAACUCGUACAAAUCCUAGAUUAACAUAGAAACUGAUAUAAGAAUUGCAAAGCCCAAUUCAAGUAUCUCCAUUUUUCUUCUCUCCUUUUUAACUAAAACAAGGAAAGACGACAAAAAAAAUCUCUACUUUCCAACUCUUUCAGAGGCUCCUCUCCCACAAUCUGUCCCUGCAAGAAUACUUCUGUUUCUUUGUAGCAAAAUGAACCAGAGGCAGAACAGUAUUGAGGCAGAGGAAAGAGAGAGAGAGAGGUGUGACUUGUAUGCGAAAGUGAAGGGCAAU